AAUGGGCCGGUCACACCCUGUGCAGGACCCAGUCCCGGUCAGGACACAGCAUGGACAUGAAGGCCCCCGCUCAGCUCCUGGGCCUCCCGCUGCUCUGGCUCCCAGGAGCCAGCUGCGAAAUCCAGAUGACCCAGUCUCCAUCCUCGCUGUCUGCAUCUCCAGGAGACAGAGUCACCAUCACCUGCCGGGCGAGUCAGAACGUUAACACGUGGUUAGCCUGGUAUCAGCAGAAACCGGGGAAAGUUCCUAAGCUUCUGAUCUAUCGUGCAUCCACGUUGCAAACUGGGGUCCCCUCGCGGUUCAGCGGCAGUGGGUCUGGGAGAGAUUUCACCCUCACCAUCAGCAGCCUGGAGCCUGAAGACGCUGCCACUUACUACUGCCAGCAAAGUAACAAUCUCCCGUACAAUUUCGGCCAGGGGACGAAGCUGGAGAUAAAACGGAGUGAUGCUCAGCCAUCUGUCUUUCUCUUCCAACCAUCUCUGGACGAGUUACAUACAGGAAGUGCCUCUAUCGUGUGCAUGUUGAAUGACUUCUACCCCAAAGAGGUCAAUGUCAAGUGGAAAGUGGAUGGCGUUGUCCAAAACAAAGGCAUCCAGGAGAGCACCACAGAGCAGAACAGCAAAGACAGCACCUACAGCCUCAGCAGCACCCUGACGAUGUCCAGUACGGAGUACCAAAGUCAUGAAAAGUACUCCUGCGAGGUCACUCACAAGAGCCUGGCCUCCACCCUCGUCAAGAGUUUCAACAGGAGCGAGUGUCAGAGAGAGUAGCCUAGCAGGCCUCAUCACCUGCGCCUCAGUCCCAGACUCUCUGUCUCCCUCCUCAGGCCUCCGGACCUUUCCCCAUCGGAGACCCACACCUAUUGCAGGCCCUUGUCCCCACCUUACUGCCUCCCCCUCUUUGGCUUUAAUCAUGCUAAUAAUAUUUGGGGGGAAAUGAAUAAAUAAAGUGAAUCUUUGCACCAGUGA